rnacentral:tRNA from 1 species
CCCGGGCGAGCGCGGCGGCCAGGGCGCGUUCCGGCUGGAGGCCGGGGUGGAGGUAGCCGCCGUUCAGUUCGACGAUCCCGGGC